rnacentral:rRNA from 1 species
CCUACGGGCGGCAGCAGUAGGGAAUUUUCGGCAAUGGGGGGAACCCUGACCGAGCAACGCCGCGUGAACGAAGAAGUUAUUCGUAAUGUAAAGUUCUUUUAACAGGGAAGAAAGAGAAAUUUGACGGUACCUGACGAAUACGCUCCGGCUAACUACGUGCCAGCAGCCGCGGUAAUACGUAGGGAGCGAGCGGUAUCCGGAAUUAUUGGGCGUAAAGGGUGCGUAGAUGGCAUAGUAAGUCUUGUGUAAAAAAGCUGGGCUAAACCCAUGAGGGCAAAAGAUACUGCAAAGCUAGAGUAUGACAGAGGUGAGUGUAACUACAUGUGUAGCGGUAAAAUGCGUAAAUAUAUGUAAGAACACCAGUGGCGAAGGCGGCUUGCUGGGUCGAUACUGACAUUGAGGCACGAAAGCGUGGGGAGCAAACAGGAUUAGAUACCCGGGUAGUC